rnacentral:lncRNA from 10 species
UAACGUAGACACUCUCGCAGUACCUCCGCCUUCAGGAAGGUCUUUUUAGCAGGGGCCUUACAGGUGCACGCUUCGGUCCUGGAGGCCUUAUCCUAACCUCUCCAUCAGCGCCACCCGUCUGGGGCCCGAAAGGAGGGAGCUUUCCCUCUGUCCUCCAGCCUUUGGACUGUCUCCAAACAAGCCAUUCGUUCACCAAAUACUUAUUAAGCACCUACCAUGUGCCUGACAAGGGAGAUGUAACGAUAGGGUCUCUCUCUCUGCCACCCAGGCCAGAGUGCAGUUGACGCAGGGCAGGGGAGCCCCGAAGUGGAGCAUAGUGUGUCCGGAACUGGUGGGUUCUUGGUCUCACUGACUUCAAGAAUGAAGCCGUGGACCCUCACGGUGAGUGUCACAGUUCUUAAAGGCGGCGUGUCUGGAGUUUGUUCCUUCUGAUGCUCGGAUGUGUUCAGAGUUUCUUCCUUCUGGUGGGUUUGUGGUCUCGCUGGCUUCAGGAGUGAAGCUGCAGACCUUCAAAGUGAGUGUUACAGCUCUUAAGGUGGCGCGUCUGGAGUUGUUUGUUCCUCCCAUUGGGUUCAUAGUCUCGGUGGCUUCAGGAGUGAAGCUGCAGACCUUCGAGGUGAGUGUUACAGCUCAUAAAGGCAAUGUGGACCCAAAGAGUGAGCAGCAGCAAGAUUUAUUGCAAAGAGCAAAAGACCAAAGCUUCCACAGUGUGGAAAGGGACCCCAGUGGGUUGCCACUGCUGGCUGGGGCAGCCUGCUUUUAUUCCCUUAUCUGGCCCCACCCACAUCCUGCUGAUUGGUCCAUUUUACAGAGAGCCGAUUGGUCUGUUUUACAGAGAGCUGAUUGGUCUGUUUUGACAGGGUGCUGAUUUGUGCAUUUACAAUCCCUGAGCUAGAUACAAAAGUUCUCCAAGUCCCUACUAGAUUAGCUAGACACAGAGUGUCGAUUGGUGCAUUCACAAACCCUGAGCUGGACACAGGGUGCUGAUUGAUGUAUUUACAAACCUUGAGCUAGAUACAGAGUGCCGAUUGGUGUAUUUACAAUCCCUUAGCUAGACAUAAAGCUUCUCAAAGUCCCCACCAGACUCAGGAGACCAGCUGGCUUCACCAAGUGGAUCCCACACGGGGGCCACAGGUGGAGCUGCCUGCCACUCCCACGCCCUGUGCUGGUACUCCUCAGCCCUUGGGUGGUUGAUGGGACUGGGCGCCCUGGAGCAGGGGGCGGUGCUCAUUGGGGAGGCUUGGCACUCAUCAGGGAGGCUCAGGCUGCGCAGGAGCCCACGGAGGGUUGGGGGGAGGCUCAGGCAUGGUGGGCUGCAUGUGCCGAGCCCUGCCCUGCAGGGAAGCAGCUAAGGCCCUGCGAGAAACUGAGCAAAGCAGCUGCUGGCACAGGUGCUAAGCCCCUCACUGCCUGGGUCCAGCGGGGCUGGCAGGCCACUCUGAGUGCUGGGCCCAGUGAGCCCAUGCCCACCCGGAACUCGCGCUGGCCCGCAAGCGCCACGCCCA